rnacentral:rRNA from 1 species
GACGAACGCUGGCGGCGUGCCUAAUACAUGCAAGUAGAACGCUGAAGAGAGGAGCUUGCUCUUCUUGGAUGAGUUGCGAACGGGUGAGUAACGCGUAGGUAACCUGCCUUGUAGCGGGGGAUAACUAUUGGAAACGAUAGCUAAUACCGCAUAACAAUGGAUGACCCAUGUCAUUUAUUUGAAAGGGGCAAAUGCUCCACUACAAGAUGGACCUGCGUUGUAUUAGCUAGUAGGUGAGGUAACGGCUCACCUAGGCGACGAUACAUAGCCGACCUGAGAGGGGGAUCGGCCACACUGGGACUGGAACACGGCCCAGACCCCUACGGGAGGCAGCAGUAGGGAAUCUUCGGCAAUGGGGGCAACCCUGACCGAGCAACGCCGCGUGAGUGAAGAAGGUUUUCGGAUCGUAAAGCUCUGUUGUAAGUCAAGAACGAGUGUGAGAGUGGAAAGUUCACACUGUGACGGUAGCUUACCAGAAAGGGAGGGCUAACUACGUG